UAGCUUCAGCGAUGGAUCGGUCGAUUCGCGUAUCGAUGAAAAACGCAGCUAGCUGCGUUAUUUACCACGAAUUGCAGACGCUUAGAGUGGUGAAAUUUUGAACGCAUAGCGCCGUUGGGUUUUCCCUUCGGCACGUCUGGUUCAGGGUUGUUAAUGAAACUACUACAGUGUGGCUAACAUAUAACACUGUUUGUCGAAUGGCAUUUAUCACUUUAUUGUGAUAAUUCCCAUUUCAGUUCAAGAAUAACAUAUGCAACAUGACGUACGACGGUAUUACCGUCGUAGUGUUCCUGAAUGAUAUGAACGCGUAUUGCUACUAUUUGAAUGUACUCAAUGAAUAUGAGAUUGAUUCAGAUAGAGACAUGUAUGGUAAUAUAUGUUCAAUGUAUCAUUUGUAUUGCAACCUGAGCUCAGGCGUGAUUACCCGCUGAACUUAAGCAUAUCAUUUAGCGGAGGAAAAG
rnacentral:rRNA from 1 species